AAGUCCAGGGUUUUAAACACCUUUUUCGAAUUUGCAAUUCGGACUUCUGGACU
rnacentral:tRNA from 1 species